rnacentral:rRNA from 1 species
AUUGAACGCUGGCGGCAUGCUUUACACAUGCAAGUCGAACGGUAACAGGCCUUCGGGCGCUGACGAGUGGCGAACGGGUGAGUAAUGCAUCGGAACGUGCCCAGUCGUGGGGGAUAACGCAGCGAAAGCUGUGCUAAUACCGCAUACGAUAUGCGGCUGAAAGCGGGGGACCUUCGGGCCUCGCGCGAUUGUAGCGGCCGAUGUCAGAUUAGGUAGUUGGUGGGGUAAAGGCUCACCAAGCCAACGAUCUGUAGCUGGUCUGAGAGGACGACCAGCCACACUGGGACUGAGACACGGCCCAGACUCCUACGGGAGGCAGCAGUGGGGAAUUUUGGACAAUGGGCGCAAGCCUGAUCCAGCAAUGCCGCGUGCGGGAAGAAGGCCUUCGGGUUGUAAACUGCUUUUGUACGGAGCGAAAAGGCUCCCUCUAAUACAGGGGGCUCAUGACGGUACCGUAAGAAUAAGCACCGGCUAACUACGUGCCAGCCGCCGCGGUAACAC